rnacentral:lncRNA from 1 species
AAAGAGUUUGGUAUUUUAAGACGCUACAAGGGGUAGCCUAGGGAUUUCACUCCUACUGUUCCUUCAUUUUCCAUCAUCGAUUGAAAUUGAAUGCGAUCUUUUGGUAUUCGCCCUCCCCAUCUACCUUAUAACCUGAUUUUUAAUUCUUAAAGCUUCUAUCAAUGUCGAUGAAUAUCAUCUUCCCCCAAUCAAAGAUCAUAUGUCCCACUCGGGUUUUUGUUCGAGAUUGCAGGUGCAUAUCUUGAAGAUCUAUACUAGGCACGAGAGCAUUUUUCAUCAGGAUUAAAGUCAUGAAGAAGGAAUGGUUUGAAGGGAAAGAGUGUCUUGAUAUUGGCAGCAAUAAUGGAUUAAUAACAAUUACAAUUGGUAAUCGUUAAUAUACAGGUUUUGGUUAAAUGAAUUAUCAUCAGUUAGUUUUUUUUUUUUUUUACAUGGUUUUGAAUACUGAUGGUUCAUUCAUUAAU